CAAAUGUCACGAGAACAGGUGGGAACUCUUAGGUGGACGAAAUAAACACACAGACAGACGUGUGUGUGUGUGUUGGAAUUUCCUUGGGGGUUGAGUGUGUCUAUUUAAAGACGUGCCGUUGGUCAGUGAAUGUGAAAGUGUUCAGUUUGUUCAGACUCCAUUUCGAUUCAGAGCAGAAGGAGGAAAGACUGAAUCGAAGCGAGUUUUAAUAUUUUUCUUUCUCUGCUUCAUGUGGACUAUACAUGGAAGACGAGUUUGAUUCAACCACUGAAACGAAACUGCAGUCACCGCCAUCUGCGCUUCGUGGAGGCACAGUCCCGCUAUCUACACGUCAUACGACUGAUUAAAGGCCAGAAGAUGGUGAAAGGGGAGGAGAGAGAACCUGGGAUAAACCUAGGUCAGUACCACAGACAGAGAGCAGAGUCUACAGUAUCCAGCUGUCUG